GCCUCCGCACGUGCGGAGCCGCUUUUCCUCCCGCCCGGCUCCGACUCGCUAGUUCGUGUUGUGCUUCCAGGCACGUGUGCAAGGGGGAAGUAGGACCUGGCCGGAGUUUGGCUCCAGGGCUGGGGAGAGUGGGGCCAAUACUCACCGCCACCAGCAAGCGGCAAGGGGGGAGGAGGCUCGGGUAGCACUGACACAGGCCGCUCCCCAGCUUCAAAGAGAGCUCCAAAAAAGGCCUGCCUCUGAAGCACGGUCAGACCUCCUCCCAGACGCCUGCACUCCGCUCUGACCGUGUCCCCAUGCCUCUGUGCGUGGGGCUGGUCUGAGCCCCAUCUGCUGCUCACCUAGGUGUGGGGCUUGUCCUCCAAGCCCCCUUGCUGUGGAUGGAGCUCCUCAGCUGCCCCUGGGAGCUACCUGAGCUCAUCUAGAGAAGACUGCCCCCUACAGGAACUGGAUCUCCCAGGUGUAAUCUCUGUUGCAAGUUCUUCAUGAGGGGGACAGCCAGAAGAGAUUCCACCUCUGGAGUGGAGCACAUUGGUACCACCAAUACUACGCAAGGCAGCUUAGGACAAGAAGUUAAGAACAGUGUAUUCAGUUUAACCUAUGGAGGAA